UACGGGGGGAGCAAGCGUUGUUCGGAUUUACUGGGCGUAAAGGGCGCGUAGGCGGUCGUGACAAGUCGAGUGUGAAAGCCCCGGGCUCAACCUGGGAAUUGCGCUCGAUACUCUUGUGCUUGAGUUCGGGAGAGGAGCCGUGGAAUUCCCAGUGUAGAGGUGAAAUUCGUAGAUAUUGGGAGAACACCGGUGGCGAAGGCGGCGCUCUGGACCGAGACUGACGCUGAGGCGCGAAAGCGUGGGGAGCAAACAGG
rnacentral:rRNA from 1 species